rnacentral:rRNA from 1 species
UACGGGAGGCAGCAGUGGGGAAUAUUGCACAAUGGGCGCAAGCCUGACGCAGCCAUGCCGCGUGUGUGAAGAAGGCCUUCGGGUUGUAAAGCACUUUCAGCGGGGAGGAAGGCGUUAAGGUUAAUAACCUUGGCGAUUGACGUUACCCGCAGAAGAAGCACCGGCUAACUCCGUGCCAGCAGCCGCGGUAAU